GAUUCUCUUCGGAGAAGAGCGGCGGACGGGUGAGUAACGCGUGGGUAACCUGCCCUGUACACACGGAUAACAUACCGAAAGGUAUGCUAAUACGAGAUAACAUGUUUUGAUCGCAUGGUCGAAAUAUCAAAGCUCCGGCGGUACAGGACGGACCCGCGUCUGAUUAGCUAGUUGGUAAGGUAAUGGCUUACCAAGGCGACGAUCAGUAGCCGACCUGAGAGGGUGAUCGGCCACAUUGGAACUGAGACACGGUCCAAACUCCUACGGGAGGCAGCAGUGGGGAAUAUUGCACAAUGGGCGAAAGCCUGAUGCGGCAACGCCGCGUGAGCGAUGAAGGCCUUCGGGUCGUAAAGCUCUGUCCUCAAGGAAGAUAAUGACGGUACUUGAGGAGGAAGCCCUGGCUAACUACGUGCCAGCAGCCGCGGUAAUACGGAGGGGGCGAGCGUUGUUCGGAAUUACUGGGCGUAAAGGGCGUGUAGGCGGCCAUGUCAGUCAGACGUGAAAGCCCUCGGCUUAACCGAGGAAUUGCGUUUGAUACUGCGUGGCUUGAGUGUGGGAGGGGAGAGUGGAAUUCCCAGUGUAGCGGUGAAAUGCGUAGAUAUUGGGAGGAACACCAGUGGCGAAGGCGGCUCUCUGGACCACAACUGACGCUAAGGCGCGAAAGCGUGGGGAGCGAACGGGAUUAGAUACCCCGGUAGUCCACGCUGUAAGCGAUGGGCACUAGGUGUAGCGGGUAUAGACACCUGCUGUGCCGCAGCUAACGCAUUAAGUGCCCCGCCUGGGGAGUACGGUCGCAAGAUU
rnacentral:rRNA from 1 species